AGUACGGCGGAACACGAGGAAUUCCGUCGGAAUCCGGGAGGACCAUCUCCCAAGGCUAAAUACUCCCUAGUGACCGAUAGUGAACCAGUACCGUGAGGGAAAGGUGAAAAGCACCCCGGAAGGGGAGUGAAAUAGAACCUGAAACCGUGUGCCUACAACAAGUCAAAGCCCGUUAAUGGGUGAUGGCGUGCCUUUUGUAGAAUGAACCGGCGAGUUACGAUUGCAUGCGAGGUUAAGUUGAAGAGACGGAGCCGCAGCGAAAGCGAGUCUGAAUAGGGCGUUUGAGUAUGUAGUCGUAGACCCGAAACCAUGUGAUCUACCCAUGUCCAGGUUGAAGGUGCGGUAAAACGCACUGGAGGACCGAACCCACGUACGUUGAAAAGUGCGGGGAUGAGGUGUGGGUAGCGGAGAAAUUCCAAACGAACUUGGAGAUAGCUGGUUCUCUCCGAAAUAGCUUUAGGGCUAGCCUCGGAAUUGAGAAUGAUGGAGGUAGAGCACUGUUUGGACUAGGGGCCCAUCUCGGGUUACCGAAUUCAGAUAAACUCCGAAUGCCAUUCAUUCAUAUCCGGGAGUCAGACUGUGAGUGAUAAGAUCCAUAGUCGAAAGGGAAACAGCCCAGACCACCAGCUAAGGUCCCAAAAUAUAUGUUAAGUGGAAAAGGAUGUGGGGUUGCACAGACAACUAGGAUGUUGGCUUAGAAGCAGCCACCAUUUAAAGAGUGCGUAAUAGCUCACUAGUCGAGUGACCCUGCGCCGAAAAUGUACCGGGGCUAAACAUAUUACCGAAGCUGUGGAGUACACCUUUAGGUGUAUUGGUAGGAGAGCGUUCUAAGGGCGUUGAAGGCAGAUCGUGAGGACUGCUGGAGCGCUUAGAAGUGAGAAUGCCGGUAUGAGUAGCGAAAGACAGGUGAGAAUCCUGUCCACCGAAUGACUAAGGUUUCCUGGGGAAGGCUCGUCCGCCCAGGGUUAGUCGGGACCUAAGCCGAGGCCGACAGGCGUAGGCGAUGGACAACAGGUUGAUAUUCCUGUACUCGUUGUUUUUGUUUGAGCAAUGGAGGGACGCAGGAGGCUAAGGAAUGCAGACGAUUGGAAAUGUCUGUCUAAGCAGUAAGUCU
rnacentral:rRNA from 1 species